rnacentral:rRNA from 1 species
GAUGAACGCUGGCGGCGUGCCUAAUACAUGCAAGUCGAGCGAACAGACGAGGAGCUUGCUCCUCUGACGUUAGCGGCGGACGGGUGAGUAACACGUGGAUAACCUACCUAUAAGACUUGGAUAACUUCGGGAAACCGGAGCUAAUACCGGAUAAUAUAUUGAACCGCAUGGUUCAAUAGUGAAAGACGGUUUUGCUGUCACUUAUAGAUGGAUCCGCGCUGCAUUAGCUAGUUGGUAAGGUAACGGCUUACCAAGGCAACGAUGCGUAGCCGACCUGAGAGGGUGAUCGGCCACACUGGAACUGAGACACGGUCCAGACUCCUACGGGAGGCAGCAGUAGGGAAUCGUCCGCAAUGGGCGAAAGCCUGACGGAGCAACGCCGCGUGAGUGAUGAAGGUCUUCGGAUCGUAAAACUCUGUUAUUAGGGAAGAACAAAUGUGUAAGUAACUGUGCACGUCUUGACGGUACCUAAUCAGAAAGCCACGGCUAACUACGUG